UAGUCGUAAAUGAUUAUGACAAAUCUAACCAUCUUACAAAUUUCAAUGAUAGUUUGACGUUUGACAAGCUAGGUGGAAGCUUGGGAAUGAAGCAGGUCAAACGAGUCAAGAAUGAAGGAAAAGCAUAAUUUGGAUGCUAGGUACUAAUUGAGUUACCGGAGGACGAUCAAGCUCAACGAAGAACCGAACACAUAAAGAACAAAGCUUCCACGAAAUGAUUCGUCGUCAUGUUUUAAACGGCGAAUGUUCUAUAAAAUGUGGAAAUGUUUUAUUUCUUAAAAUGUU
rnacentral:lncRNA from 1 species